CAACGGACGGGAAGCGUGAAGCAAAGCGGGAGUUGAGGACAAAAAAGAUAACGGACGAACUUAAAUGCUUGAAUAGGAAAAAGGGAGACGAAGCUUGCACACGUUCGAGAGGAAGAAAAAAAAGCUUCGAAUACCCACUUUUGCACCCUCAAGGACAUGGGACCCACAUUGAUAUUUUCUUUCGUAUCGAAUGGGGUCAUCGGAUACGAGAGCCCCUUAAUUAGCAUGUUUUGGUUGUGCUGCGUCGUGGCAUUUUACAGCUUAGGUGAGAUUAAACCUUGUAAUUACAGUUUCAGUGUAAUUAGUUGACUAUUUGACACUUUGGUCUCUAGGGUUUGAUUGAUUUGUUUGAAUUAUUAGAACCUCAUUACAUUUUUUGUGAAAUUUCACUAGAUUUUGCUUGAUUAAA